AUUGAACGCUGGCGGCAGGCCUAACACAUGCAAGUCGAACGGUAGCACAGAGAGCUUGCUCUCGGGUGACGAGUGGCGGACGGGUGAGUAAUGUCUGGGAAACUGCCUGAUGGAGGGGGAUAACUACUGGAAACGGUAGCUAAUACCGCAUAACGUCGCAAGACCAAAGAGGGGGACCUUCGGGCCUCUCGCCAUCAGAUGUGCCCAGAUGGGAUUAGCUAGUAGGUGGGGUAACGGCUCACCUAGGCGACGAUCCCUAGCUGGUCUGAGAGGAUGACCAGCCACACUGGAACUGAGACACGGUCCAGACUCCUACGGGAGGCAGCAGUGGGGAAUAUUGCACAAUGGGCGCAAGCCUGAUGCAGCCAUGCCGCGUGUAUGAAGAAGGCCUUCGGGUUGUAAAGUACUUUCAGCGGGGAGGAAGGUGCUGAGGUUAAUAACCUCAGCAAUUGACGUUACCGGCAGAAGAAGCACCGGCUAACUCCGUG
rnacentral:rRNA from 1 species